CUCAUGAUCUGCCCGCCUCAAAGUCCCAACGUGCUGGGAUUACAGGCAUGAGCCACCACGCCCUGCUAAGGUGGCAAUCUUUAUACAUAAAAAACAGGAAUGACUUCUUCGAAUUGGUGCACUAGAGAAAUGUUUUCCAGUCGCCUAAGCGUUUAAGCAUGGUAAACAGAUUACCAUAUUAGUUGCCCAGACCUUGCAAAACUUCAUAGUGUUUGUUUGUUUCCCUUGGGAGGCUGUUCUGAGAAGGAACCUUUUCAUUCCUCGGAGUUCUGAUGUGUUCAUUGGCCCCUGUUGUCAUGCUGGAUAUGGGGGCGGUUCAAGGGGGGCUUGGGUGCCUGAGAAAAAGAGUGAAAAACCCAACUGCGAAAACCCAAGAGAAACCGAAAGAGUGAACACUGGAAAAAAAAAAAAGGGGGGGCCGGCGAGCUUCAGGACCUAAGCGGUUAAGGAACUGGCUUUGACAGGAAGUGGGCAGGAGGCUGUUUUCAGUAUGCUCAUGGGAACCCAGCUGGAAAGUGCUGUGGAAGGACAAAUGGAGAAAAGUCUCCAGAAAUUGGCCUCGUUUGAAAGGACCUCAUGCAAAGAGAGAUCUUUGGAGACAUUUCAGAAAGGUUUUUAUUCAAACAUAUUCGCAGCUUGUAUGACAGUGGAAUGUUUUGAAAUGAGCUUGAUUCUGUUUACCCAUCCUUCUUAAUCCAACAACUCUGCUGGUCUCUCUGCUGACACAAGAUCGUUCGCAGGUUAUAGAAGGAUUUAACACGUCAGAUAGUUUUUUCUAGAGGUAGGAGGUACAUAAGAGAAACGUGUUUUAUGGCUGUGGUUUUCAAGAAGUACAGCGUUUUGGAGAGAGUGGAAGGCUUUCAUGCAUGAAACACUCAGGGAGGUAGGAGAUCCAUGAGAUCCAAGCUAAACAAUUCUGGAAGAGUUACCUGAAGUUGACACUUAAUUCAAGCUGCAUCAUCUUCCUCCUCCCAGCAGAUGAAGACCAAAGG
rnacentral:lncRNA from 1 species